rnacentral:rRNA from 1 species
UACGUAGGGGGCUAGCGUUGCUCGGAAUCACUGGGCGUAAAGCGCACGUAGGCGGCUUUUUAAGUCAGGGGUGAAAUCCUGGAGCUCAACUCCAGAACUGCCUUUGAUACUGAGAAGCUUGAGUCCGGGAGAGGUGAGUGGAACUGCGAGUGUAGAGGUGAAAUUCGUAGAUAUUCGGAAGAAACACCAGUGGCGAAGGCGACUCACUGGACAUGUAUUGACGCUGAGGUGCGAAAGCGUGGGGAGCAAACAGGG